AUGACAAAAUUUGAGAGAGAGGAGAUGCUAAUGCUCCUGAUUGUUGCCGAUGAUGUCUACGAGGAGGUGAGAAACAGAGUAGAGAGUACUGCACCUACAACAGAGUACGGGAGGAUUGGGAACAGGGUAGAGAACGACGGGGAGGGGGCAAGAAAUAGAGUAGAGAGUACUACACCUACAAUAGAGUGUAAGAGGAUUGGGAGAAGGAAACGAGGAGGAAGAGGCAACGAGAAGAAGAGAGGGGGCAGGAAGAGUGGUGAGGGAUCGCUAGAGUGUGACCAUGGCCUCGCCCUCUCGGAUUGGGAAUUUCAGCCUACUUUGGCAUGCUCACACCUGCGUACUAGAGCUCGCGCUGGAGUAGAAGUAAGGCCGAUAUUGUGGACGCAGAUGGACUGCGGUGCCUCCCCCCUCAGCAGCUCUAAGGUUACACAUUCUCUGCACACACCGCCUGGCAGAGUGCACAUAUCAAUGGAGGCCCAUGCCGAUCUUUUGGUCCUUGAGUCCAUGUCGUUGGACGUCGUCGGGCUGGCGGAGAGCAUGUCCAUGGUUGAUCUGGAGGUCGUGUUCGGCUCCAUCGGCCGCGUCACCGGCUCCGAGUUCGUGUGCACUAGCGGCCACAGCUUCGUCUACAUUGCCACUGCCCCUCCCACAAGUCUCAGUUUCUUGGAAUGGCGGUUCAAGAAGGGACAUCAUCGUGUGGCUUGCGUGACCAUAGGGCUCUUGACCAAGCCGAGCGAAUUAAUUUUCACAGCUCACCGUGAAAAGGUCUGUACACAAGUGAGUUGGGCGUGUGUGUCCUGUGGAGGCGCUGUGCACCUUCAGGGUCAUGAUGGCCAUCUGCUGUCGAGCUUCACCGCCUCACGCAGCAGGACUGACUCUGAUGACCUGUUUAGAGCAGAGUUUUUAGUAGAUGACGACAUAAAUUGUGGCAUUGGUCGCAAUCUAGAAGUUUUUCAGAUCCAAAUCCUACUUCAGAAAGUGUAUAUGAGCAAAGGUCUGCACCUAAACGUUAUCAGAAGUGAGGUCUUAGACAAGAAAAUGUUGUCCACGAAACAUGGCCUGAAGACGAAGGGCAUAACCGAUGGCACCAGCGGGAGGUAUUUUUGGAUCAGUGCCGGCGGCCCAGUACUGACGGAUACAAGUGUGUGGCUGCUCCAGUGCCGCCGCAUACUCCAGUACAGCCCAAACGUGGAUGCAGGUGGAUGUGGGCACCGUGGCCGCCACCAAGGAUGUGGGGGUCGCGCCACAACCGGCAUGGACGCGGUGGGAACGCCGAAACUGUCAAGGACACGGGAGCCACACUUCAGCCUUAGUGUUUUCCCUAAUUUCUUUAGGUUAUCUGGAAUGAUGGACAGUGAAUGGGCCGGCCCAGGUGAGCCGGCUCCUGUGCGAAUCGCCAUCAGUUUGCCGCAGCAAGCGGCAUAUAGGAGGCCCCAAGGAGCGAGCGCGCUAGCUGGGCCGGGCGCUAUCCCCGCGCGGGGAAUUGGAUCCCUGGGCUGGCCUACCGUUAGAUUGUUCGGGGCUUUCGACUAG
rnacentral:rRNA from 1 species